rnacentral:tRNA from 1 species
GAGAUGUUAAUUAAAUCAUAAUAAUGCCUUGUCAAGACAUAAUUAUAGGCUAAAUCCCUGUACAUCUCC